rfam:Lachnoclostridium sp. An298 An298_contig_4, whole genome shotgun sequence.
GAAAGGGCGUGGCGGAUUAUGCACGCCUGGGCUGGGAUAUCGGGAGAUGAUAACCCGGUAGGAUGCACAUGACACCAAAAGUCAGAGAGAAUCUCUGCAGAGCAUCCGCAGCCUCAGUUAAA